rnacentral:rRNA from 1 species
UACGAAGGGGGCUAGCGUUGCUCGGAAUCACUGGGCGUAAAGGGUGCGUAGGCGGGUUCUUAAGUCAGAGGUGAAAUCCUGGAGCUCAACUCCAGAACUGCCUUUGAUACUGGCGAUCUCGAGUCCGGGAGAGGUGAGUGGAACUGCGAGUGUAGAGGUGAAAUUCGUAGAUAUUCGCAAGAACACCAGUGGCGAAGGCGGCUCACUGGCCCGGUACUGACGCUGAGGUGCGAAAGCGUGGGGAGCAAACAGGG